UACGAAGGGGGCUAGCGUUGUUCGGAAUUACUGGGCGUAAAGGGCGCGUAGGCUGUGCUGUAAGUCAGGCGUGAAAGCCCCGGGCUCAACCUGGGAAUUGCCGCUUGAUACUGCGGCCGCUGGAAGGUGGGAGAGGAUGGCGGAAUUCCCAGUGUAGAGGUGAAAUUCGUAGAUAUUGGGAAGAACACCGGUGGCGAAGGCGGCCACUCUGGCCCACAAGUUCG
rnacentral:rRNA from 1 species